GGGCGUGGGAGAAUGGAGAGGAUUGAGAGAUGAGUGAAAGUGACGCAGAGAUUGAGAAUGAGAGUUUUCUGAAACUGAUUUGUGAUUGUGAAAUUCCCCAUGAAAUUGCAAUGAGGAUUAAUUAUAUAGGGGUUCAAACGUUAACAGAGUUAACUCUGUUAGUAAUUCCUUGUUGAAGUUUAUUACACAUUAUAACUUUGUUAAAUGAUGGGAUUCGUGAGAAAUUAGUUAGGAAUUAUGUUAGAUUUGGAUGAAAUUUUGUUAAAUGCAAUGCUAGGUUAGUUUUAGUUAUUACUUAGGAUCUGUUGGGUGAUGUGGAACUCAAGUUGAAGGUUGGAUUGUUCUAUGCUCUUGGAGUUUGGUUAGUCAUAUCUCAACAUUGCUUGAAAUGAAGUUAUAUGAAAGUCCAUGGUGAUAACUUGAAGAAUCAAAACUUGUUUGCACAUGAAGCAAGCUUGGCCAUGAAAUCAAAUGAAAAGAUGAAUAAGAAUGAAGAAUCAAAGUGGAAUUAGGAGUAGGUCUAGAAAUUAGGCCAGUUGACCAGUUGACCAAAAAGUCAAUAGUUGACCAAAGUCAAUAGUAGAUUAAAGUCAUGAUUUCUUUUGUAAUUUUUGUAUGAAUUCUUUGUAAAUAAUAUUUGUAUGAAUGAAUGACAUGAUUCUUUUAA